CUUGCAAGUCGACUGUCAAAGCCCGCAGCUUAACUGCGGAGAGGCGGUGGAAACUGUGAGACUAGAGUAUGGUAGGGGUAGAGGGAAUUCCCAGUGUAGCGGUGAAAUGCGUAGAUAUUGGGAAGAACACCGGUGGCGAAAGCGCUCUACUGGACCAUAACUGACACUCAGGGACGAAAGCCAAGGUAGCGAAAGGGAUUAGAUACCCCUGUAGUCUUGGCCGUAAACGAUGAAUACUAGGCGUUGUCUGUAUCGACCCGGACAGUGCCGAAGCUAACGCGUUAAGUAUUCCGCCUGGGGAGUACGCACGCAAGUGUGAAACUCAAAGGAAUUGACGGGGGCCCGCACAAGCGGUGGAGUAUGUGGUUUAAUUCGAUGCAACGCGAAGAACCUUACCAAGAUUUGACAUCCCGUGAACUUUCCAGAGAUGGAUUGGUGCCUUCGGGAACACGGAGACAGGUGGUGCAUGGCUGUCGUCAGCUCGUGUCGUGAGAUGUUGGGUUAAGUCCCGCAACGAGCGCAACCCUCGUCCUUAGUUGCCAUCAUUAAGUUGGGCACUUUAGGGAGACUGCCGGGGACAACUCGGAGGAAGGUGGGGAUGACGUCAAGUCAUCAUGCCCCUUACAUUUUGGGCUACACACGUACUACAAUGGUCGGGACAAAGGGCAGCAACCCCGCGAGGGCAAGCGAAUCUCAUCAAACCCGGCCUCAGUUCAGAUUGCAGGCUGCAACUCGCCUGCAUGAAGGAGGAAUCGCUAGUAAUCGCAGGUCAGCAUACUGCGGUGAAUCCGUUCCCGGGCCUUGUACACACCGCCCGUCACACCAUGGAAGCUGGCAACGCCCGAAGUCG
rnacentral:rRNA from 1 species